CGGAAGUAAAAGUCGUAACAGUUUCCGUAGGUGAACUGCGGAAGGAUCAUUAAUAAAUGGUCUACGUUUUUUAAGUAGACGCUUAAUAAUCCUACCUUUGUGAAUUUGUCGUUUUGAAAUAAUUUUUUUAAAAUUAUUGAUUGUCUUCCCUGUUGAAUUGGUUGUCUUAAUGGCGAAUGAUUCGCAGGGAGUGUCAGUAAUUUUAAAAAGACCUUUUUUAAAAUUAAACUUUUGUAUUCAUUUGUCUAAAAUUAUUUUUAUAAUAUAAAACAACUUUUGACAAUGGAUCUCUUGGUUCUCGCAACGAUGAAGAACGCAGCAAAAUGCGAUAAGUAGUGUGAAUUGCAGAAUACGUGAAUCAUCGAAUCUUCGAACGCAUAUUGCACUUUUUUAGUUUACUAAAAAGUAUGUCUGUUUGAGUAUCAGUAAAAUAUUCUCAUAAAAACUUUUUGUUUUUAUGGUUAUGAGUGUUUUACAACGAUACAAGUGUUUCACUUUAAAUUUUUUUAAAAUUUGAAUUUUUCUAAUUUUAAAAUAAAAUUGGAUAAAUUUUCCCGUAAAAAAGGAAUAACCUAACAAUUUAAUUUUGAUUAGAAUUCUUCAAUUAUAAAGGAAAAUUUAACUAAAUAACUUGAUCUCAAAUCAGAUAAGAGUACCGCUGAACUUAAGCAUAUCAAUAAGCGGAGGAAAAGAAACCAACAAGGAUUCCUUAGUAACGGCGAGUGAAGCGGGAAGAGCUCAAAUUUGAGAUCUUCAAGGUUUUACCUUGACGAAUUGUAGUUUAAAGAAGUGUUUCUGUUGAAGUUUUGGUAAAGUUCUUUGGAAUAGGACAUCAUAGAGGGUGAGAAUCCGUAUUUGACCAUUAUUUUCAGCUGUGUGAUACACUUUCAAAGAGUCGGAUUGUUUGGAAUGCAGUCCAAAAUGGUGGUAAAUUCAUCUAAAGCUAAAUAUUGGCGAGAGACCGAUAGCGAACAAGUACCGUGAGGGAAAGAUGAAAAGAACUUUGAAAAGAGAGUUAAACAGUACGUGAAAUUGUCAAAAGGAAGCGUUUGACACCAGUGUUGUUUCUCGAAAAUCAAUUAAAAAAGUUGGAUUUUGUGUUGUAUUGACCUUAACAGCUUGCUUCACUCUUUUCUUGCUUUUUUUUAAUGCACUUUUCGUUUAACAAGUCAACAUCAGUUUCUUUGUUGUAAAAGGGUCAUUGGAAGGUGGCUUCUCUUCGGAGAAAGUGUUUAUAGCCUUUGAUCUCUGCAAUCGGAGAGACUGAGGUCUGCAGCGUAGAUCCUUCGGGGUUAGAUACAUUUGUGCUAAGCUACAGCUUUCAUAGACAACUUGUUGACUAUGUUUAGUCUUGUAACUUACCCGCUUAUGCUAUUUUACCUACCUUAGGAUGUUGAG
rnacentral:misc_RNA from 1 species